AUUGCCCUAGUAACGGCGAGUGAAGCGGCAACAGCUCAAAUUUGAAAUCUGGCUUCGGCCCGAGUUGUAAUUUGUAGAGGAAACUUUUGGUGAGGCACCUUCUGAGUCCCUUGGAACAGGGCGCCAUAGAGGGUGAGAGCCCCGUAUAGUCGGAUGCCGAUCCAAUGUAAAGUUCCUUCGACGAGUCGAGUAGUUUGGGAAUGCUGCUCAAAAUGGGAGGUAAAUUUCUUCUAAAGCUAAAUAUAGGCCAGAGACCGAUAGCGCACAAGUAGAGUGAUCGAAAGAUGAAAAGCACUUUGAAAAGAGGGUUAAAUAGCACGUGAAAUUGUUGAAAGGGAAGCGUUUGUGACCAGACUUGCGCCGUUCCGAUCAUCCGGUGUUCUCACCGGUGCACUCGGGGCGGCUCAGGCCAGCAUCGGUUUUGGUGGGGGGAUAAAGGUCCAGGGAACGUAGCUCCUCCGGGAGUGUUAUAGCCCUGGGCGUAAUGCCCUCGCUGGGACCGAGGUUCGCGCAUCUGCAAGGAUGCUGGCGUAAUGGUCAUCAACGACCCGUCUUGAAACACGGACCAAGGAGUCAAGGUUUUGCGCGAGUGUUUGGGUGUAAAACCCGCACGCGUAAUGAAAGUGAACGUAGGUGAGAGCUUCGGCGCAUCAUCGACCGAUCCUGAUGUAUUCGGAUGGAUUUGAGUAAGAGCGUUAAGCCUUGGACCCGAAAGAUGGUGAACUAUGCUUGGAUAGGGUGAAGCCAGAGGAAACUCUGGUGGAGGCUCGCAGCGGUUCUGACGUGCAAAUCGAUCGUCAAAUCUGAGCAUGGGGGCGAAAGACUA
rnacentral:rRNA from 3 species